GCCAGCCCGCUCAGAACUUAAAUGAAUUGACGGGGCCCGCACAAGCAGCGGAGCAUGUGGUUUAAUUCGAAGCAACGCGAAGAACUUACCUAGACUUGACAUCUCCUGAAUUACCCGUAACUGGGGAAGCUCUUCGGAGCAGGAAGACAGGUGGUGCAUGGUUGUCGUCAGCUCGUGUCGUGAGAUGUUGGGUUAAGUCCCGCAACGAGCGCAACCCUUUAUCGUUAGUUGCUACCAUUAAGUUGAGCACUCUAGCGAGACUGCCCGGGUUAACCGGGAGGAAGGUGGGGAUGACGUCAAAUCAUCAUGCCCCUUAUGUCUAGGGCUACACACGUGCUACAAUGGUGAGGACAAAGAGACGCAAGACCGCGAGGUGGAGCAAAUCUCACAAACCUCAUCCCAGUUCGGAUUGCAGGCUGAAACUCGCCUGCAUGAAGCCGGAGUUGCUAGUAAUCGCGAAUCAGCAUGUCGCGGUGAAUACGUUCCCGGGCCUU
rnacentral:rRNA from 1 species